CGCCGCCAGCGUCAGCAGCUGGGCCGACACGGACAGCGCGACGGCUACGGAGCAGACGGCCGAGCCGGACGCCGGCUCGCUGGAGUUCAGCUUCACGCCGUCGGUGAUGGAGUCGCUGGAGGAGGCCAGCGGCGACACGCUCUCCAUCGGCUCCGACCUCAGUAGCAUGUCAUCUGGCAGCCAGCCGUCGCGACACGUGCGCUUCAAUGAGACCGUGCGGGUUCGCCAGCACAACCGGCCCGCUGAGGCGCCCACUAGCGACGCCAAGCGGCGCAAACGCUAAACAGACGCGCUCCGACCGGCAAGAUAUUAAUCCAGCGCGCGUGGAGUAACGCGCCGUGCAUGGCAAGUCGAGGACGUCGGGUAGUUUAAUGGCGCCUCGGCCGUGUACUUAAAUAGUCGUGUGGUUAGUUGUGAAGUGGACCAGGGAAUACAGGCCCCGUGAAUGUGUCGCUGACCUGGGCCGAGUGCGACGCCGCAGUGAGGACCGCUUCCGGUUGUGAUGGCGGACCGCUGAGUUUAUCCGCCUUCGCCUGCCACCUCUUGCCCUUCUGUCUUUCUGUCCCGCCCGCUUCCCGCUUCCUGUUCUGUUCAGCUGUGUUCAAUGGUGGCAUUAUGGUGAGCUUGCUUGCUCCACACGGGCUGUGUGCCUUCCCUUGCCUCUGUGCGCUGACCAGACCGAAAUACACACAUACGAGUUUC